CCUACGGGGGGCAGCAGUGAGGAAUAUUGGUCAAUGGACGAGAGUCUGAACCAGCCAAGUAGCGUGAAGGAUGACUGCCCUAUGGGUUGUAAACUUCUUUUAUAUGGGAAUAAAAUGUUCCACGUGUGGGAUUUUGUAUGUACCAUAUGAAUAAGGAUCGGCUAACUCCGUGCCAGCAGCCGCGGUAAUACGGAGGAUCCGAGCGUUAUCCGGAUUUAUUGGGUUUAAAGGGAGCGUAGGUGGAUUUUUAAGUCAGUUGUGAAAGUUUGCGGCUCAACCGUGAAAUUGCAGUUGAAACUGGAAGUCUUGAGAGCAGUAGCGGUGGGCGGAAUUCGUGGUGUAGCGGUGAAAUGCUUAGAGAUCACGCAGAACACCGAUUGCGAAGGCAGCUCACUGAACUGCAACUGACGCUGAGGCUCGAAAGUGUGGGUAUCAAACAGGAUUAGAUACCCGGGUAGUC
rnacentral:rRNA from 1 species